rnacentral:rRNA from 1 species
AGAGUUUGAUCCUGGCUCAGGAUGAACGCUAGACGGCAGGCCUAAUACAUGCAAGUCGAGGGGCAGCGGGAGUAGACAAUACUUGCCGGCGACCGGCGACACGGGUGCGUAACACGUAUGCAAUCUACCUAUAACUGGGGGAUAGCCCGAAGAAAUUCGGAUUAAUACCCCAUAACAUUAUGAAGCGGCAUCGCUUUAUAAUUAAAGUUCCGACGGUUAUGGAUGAGCAUGCGUCCGAUUAGCUAGUUGGUGAGGUAACGGCUCACCAAGGCGACGAUCGGUAGGGGUACUGAGAGGUUACACCCCCACACUGGUACUGAGACACGGACCAGACUCCUACGGGAGGCAGCAGUAAGGAAUAUUGGACAAUGGUCGCAAGACUGAUCCAGCCAUGCCGCGUGCAGGAUGAAUGCCCUAUGGGUUGUAAACUGCUUUUAUACGGGAAUAAACCCUUGGACGUGUCCGAGGCUGAAUGUACCGUAAGAAUAAGGGUCGGCUAACUUCGUGCCAGCAGCCGCGGUAAGACGAAGGACCCAAGCGUUAUCCGGAUUCAUUGGGUUUAAAGGGUGCGUAGGCGGAUUGAUAAGUCAGUGGUGAAAGCCCAACGCUUAACGUUGGAACUGCCAUUGAUACUGUCGAUCUUGAAUAUGUUUGAUGUGGGCGGAAUACGACAUGUAGCGGUGAAAUGCUUAGAUAUGUCAUAGAACACCGAUUGCGAAGGCAGCUCACAAAGCCAUUAUUGACGCUGAGGCACGAAAGUGCGGGGAUCAAACAGGAUUAGAUACCCUGGUAGUCCGCACUGUAAACGUUGAUUACUCGCUGUUGGCGAUACACUGUCAGCGGCUA